rnacentral:rRNA from 1 species
AUUGAACGCUGGCGGAAUGCUUUACACAUGCAAGUCGAACGGCAGCACGGGGCAACCUGGUGGCGAGUGGCGAACGGGUGAGUAAUACAUCGGAACGUGCCCAAUCGUGGGGGAUAACGUAGCGAAAGUUACGCUAAUACCGCAUACGAUCUACGGAUGAAAGCGGGGGAUCGCAAGACCUCGCGCGAUUGGAGCGGCCGAUGUCAGAUUAGGUAGUUGGUGGGGUAAAGGCUCACCAAGCCGACGAUCUGUAGCUGGUCUGAGAGGACGACCAGCCACACUGGGACUGAGACACGGCCCAGACUCCUACGGGAGGCAGCAGUGGGGAAUUCUGGACAAUGGGCGCAGGCCUGAUCCAGCCAUUCCGCGUGCAGGAUGAAGGCCUUCGGUUGUAAACUGCUUUUGUACGGAACGAAACGGUUCUCUCUAAUACAGGGGGCUAAUGACGGUACCGUAAGAAUAAGCACCGGCUAACUACGUGCCAGCAGCCGCGGUAAU